rnacentral:rRNA from 1 species
AGUUUGAUCCUGGCUCAGAUUGAACGCUGGCGGCAGGCCUAACACAUGCAAGUCGAGCGGGGUUUUCGGACCUAGCGGCGGACGGGUGAGUAAUGCGUAGGAAGCUACCCGAUAGAGGGGGAUACCAGUUGGAAACGACUGUUAAUACCGCAUAAUGUCUACGGACCAAAGUGUGGGACCUUCGGGCCACAUGCUAUCGGAUGCGCCUACGUGGGAUUAGCUAGUUGGUGGGGUAAUGGCUCACCAAGGCGACGAUCCCUAGCUGGUUUGAGAGGAUGAUCAGCCACACUGGAACUGAGACACGGUCCAGACUCCUACGGGAGGCAGCAGUGGGGAAUAUUGGACAAUGGGCGCAAGCCUGAUCCAGCCAUGCCGCGUGUGUGAAGAAGGCCUUCGGGUUGUAAAGCACUUUCAGCGAGGAGGAAGGGAGUUGUGUUAAUAGCACAGCUUCUUGACGUUACUCGCAGAAGAAGCACCGGCUAACUCUGUGCCAGCAGCCGCGGUAAUACAGAGGGUGCAAGCGUUAAUCGGAAUUACUGGGCGUAAAGCGCACGUAGGCGGUUUUUUAAGUCAGAUGUGAAAGCCCCGGGCUCAACCUGGGAAUUGCAUUUG